GUUGUUAUAGGGUGUUUUGAGCUGUUAUGCAUCGUUGCCAGGUUGUUGCUAUAGGGUUGCUAUGGGGUUUCGGUAGUUGCCAGGACCUUGCUAUAGAGUGUUUAGAGUUGUUGCCAGGGUGUUGUUAUAGGGUUAUCAGGGCAUUGCUAUAGGGUGUUUUGAGGUUUUGCCAGGGCAUUGCUAUAGGGUGUUUAGAGUUGUUGCCAGGGCGUAGCUUAAGGAAGUUCUGA